rnacentral:rRNA from 1 species
AUUGAACGCUGGCGGCAUGCUUUAUACAUGCAAGUCGAACGGCAACGCGGGCUUCGUCCUGCCCUCGAGUUGCGAACGGGCGAGUAAUGCAUCCGAACGUGCCCUGUCUAGGGGGAUAGCAUGACGUAAGCCGGAUGAAUACCGUACACGACAAUAUGGUGAAAGGCGGGGUCGAAUAGCGACAGGCGGUUUGACCGGCCCAUAUCGGUGUAGCCGGGUCGGAUUAGCUAGUUGGUACGGUAACGGCUUACCUAGGCGACGAUCCGUAGCUGGCCUGAGAGGGUGACCGGCCACACUGGAACUGAGACACGGCCCAGACUCCUACGGGAGGCAGCAGUGGGGAAUCUUGCACAAUGGGGGCAACCCUGAUCCAGCCAUGCCGCGUGCGGGAAGAAGGUCUUCGGAUCGUAAACCGCUUUUGUUCGGGAAGAACUACUGUGUGCUAAUCCACGCGCGUGAUGACGGUACCUGAUCAGUAAGCCCCGGCUAACUACGUG